rnacentral:rRNA from 1 species
UGGGGGAUAUUGCACAAUGGGCGAAAGCCUGAUGCAGCGACGCCGCGUGGGGGAUGAAGGCUUUCGGGUUGUAAACCUCUUUCGCUAUCGAACAAGGCCCGCUUAGGGUGGGUUGAGGGUAGGUGGAGAAGAAGCGCCGGCUAACUACGUGCCAGCAGCCGCGGUAAUACGUAGGGCGCGAGCGUUGUCCGGAAUUAUUGGGCGUAAAGGGCUUGUAGGCGGCUUGUUGCGCCUGCUGUGAAAACGCGGGGCUUAACUUCGCGCUUGCAGUGGGUACGGGCAGGCUUGAGUGUGGUAGGGGUGACUGGAAUUCCAGGUGUAGCGGUGGAAUGCGCAGAUAUCUGGAGGAACACCGAUGGCGAAGGCAGGUCACUGGGCCAUUACUGACGCUGAGGAGCGAAAGCAUGGGUAGCGAACAGG